rnacentral:rRNA from 1 species
GGAGUUAGCCGGUGCUUCUUCUGUGAGUGAUGUCCUUCCUGCCGGCUAUUAACCCGCAGGCCUUCUUCCUCACUGAAAGUGCUUUACAACCCGAAGGCCUUCUUCACACACGCGGCAUGGCUGGAUCAGGGUUGCCCCCAUUGUCCAAUAUUCCCCACUGCUGCCUCCCGUAGGAGUCUGGGCCGUGUCUCAGUCCCAGUGUGGCUGAUCAUCCUCUCAGACCAGCUACGGAUCGUCGCCUUGGUGAGCCGUUACCUCACCAACCAGCUAAUCCGACAUAGGCUCAUCCGAUAGCGCGAGGCCCGAAGGUCCCCCGCUUUCCCCCGUAGGGCGUAUGCGGUAUUAGCCUGGGUUUCCCCAGGUUAUCCCCCACUACCGGGCAGAUUCCUAUGCAUUACUCACCCGUCCGCCGCUCGCCACCAGGGAGCAAGCUCCCCGUGCUGCCGCUCGACUUGCAUGUGUUAGGCCUGCCGCCAGCGUUCAAUCUGAGCCAUAGNAACAACUCACNCUAGCGGCGGNGUCGACGACGGCGACUAG